GGCUCAGGAUGAACGCUAGCGAUAGGCUUAACACAUGCAAGUCGAGGGGCAGCACGGUGUAGCAAUACACUGGUGGCGACCGGCGUACGGGUGCGUAACACGUAUGCAACCUACCCGCUAUUGGGGGAUAACCCGGCGAAAGUCGGACUAAUAUCCCAUAUUAUUCUUACCGGGCAUCCGGUGAGUCUGAAAGAUUUAUCGAUUGCGGAUGGGCAUGCGGAUGAUUAGCUAGUAGGUGGGGUAACGGCUCACCUAGGCGACGAUCAUUAGGGGUUCUGAGAGGAAGGUCCCCCACACUGGAACUGAGACACGGUCCAGACUCCUACGGGAGGCAGCAGUGAGGAAUAUUGGUCAAUGGGCGCUAGCCUGAACCAGCCAAGUCGCGUGAAGGAUGACAGAAUCUAUGGUUUGUAAACUUCUUUUGCAGGGGAGUAAAGUGCGACACGUGUGUUGUAUUGCAAGUACCCUGCGAAUAAGCAUCGGCUAACUCCGUGCCAGCAGCUGC
rnacentral:rRNA from 1 species